UUUUUUUUUUCUUGUUCUUUUCCAAUAUUUCACCAUCAACCAUUCUUGUAUUUGAGCAGAUUUAUUAUUGCAUUGGUUUCUAUAACUCAGCUUUGGAUGUCAUCUGUUGUUGUCAUUGGACUAUUAUGUUUCUGGUGUAAAGCAUGUAUGGGAAGUGAAUAACGCAAUAUUGAUCAGAUACUAAGAAUUACAUUUUAGAGGUGUCUUCAUGGUUGCACUCAAUAAGCAUUGAAGGAUGUUGAUAUUAUUGAUUUGCAAAGUAGCAUUUCUUGCAUCUCACUCUGGCUGGUGUUAUGGUCUUGCAGGAAACAGUCAUGAUUUAACAAUCAGUUUGGGAGUUUUAUUUCUAUGGUUUACCAGGAGCCCUAAUGUUUUAUUUCUAAAACUUUUUUAUUUCUCUGGCACCCAAUGUGUGUGCAAUUGGGAUAUGUUUGGGAGUUUUAAAUUGUUGCUGAUGACUGUAUGUCUUGCAGGCCCAAUCAGCAUUAGUAGCAGAAAUAUGGCUAUGGCAAGUGGGUUCAUGGAAAGCAGUUGGUUGCCUGCAGUCUCAUAGCUUAACAGUGACACAGAUGGAAUUCUCUCAUGAUAACAGUAUGCUUUUGGCUGUCUCAAGAGAUCGUCAAUUCUCCAUUUUCACAAUCCAAAGAACAGGAGUGGAUGAGGUUGGUUAUCAGCUUCUAGCAAGGCAGGAGGCGCACAAAAGGAUUAUAUGGUCAUGUUCUUGGAAUCCAUUUGGUCAUGAAUUUGCAACUGGUUCCAGGGACAAGACAGUGAAGAUCUGGGCCGUAGAGAGAGAAUCUUCAAUAAAACAAUUGAUGACUUUGCCACAAUUCAAAAGCAGUGUCACUGCCUUGUCUUGGGUUGGUAUUGAUCGCCAAAGAAACCUCGGGUUACUAGCAGUUGGAAUGGAAGAUGGACUCAUUGAACUUUGGAGUCUUACUACCAGAAGAUCUGAGGAUGCAGCGCCAGGGGUAGCUGCUACACUUUCCAUACGGCUUGAUCCAUGCAUGUGCCAUGUAUCUUCUGUGAACCGUAUGUCUUGGAGAAACCACGAAAUGAGUGAAGAUUCCACGAGUUUGCAACUAGCUUCUUGUGGAGCUGAUCAUUGUGUGAGAGUGUUCGAGGUGAUUGUCAAUUAAUCACAUAAACGAAUCUGUAUAAUCUAGAGACAAUUUUGUAAUGCAUUGAUUAAUUUGUAGCUUGUUCCAAUCUUAUGACUCAUGACAACCUCUUUUUUAGAAUCAACAUGACAAAUAUCUACUUGAGAUAUUACUUCCGUGAGAUCAUCUUUAAUUGACAAGUGUAGCUAAUUCUAAUUUUUU
rnacentral:misc_RNA from 1 species